UUUCAUUGUUCUUCUCUUUGGAAUUCUCCAGAAGCCGGAGUUUCACCGGAGAAUCAUAAAUGGCGUUUAUAGCUCGAAAUGCGAAACUACUCACAGGAACGGCGCCGUUCCUUCAAAGGGCGGCGACGAUCCACACGACACUUCCAUCUCUCUCGCAGCAACCUGCCUCUUCUCCGGCCACUUACGGUGGCGCACAGCCUCCGUCCAUGAAUACACCAGCAGGGAUAUCUAAACCGGCUGAGUAUGUUAUAUCUAAGGUGGACGAUCUGAUGAAUUGGGCUCGUCGUGGGUCCAUAUGGCCCAUGACUUUUGGAUUGGCUUGUUGCGCUGUGGAAAUGAUGCACGCCGGAGCUGCACGUUACGAUUUUGAUCGAUUCGGUAUUAUUUUCAGACCUAGCCCUAGGCAAUCUGAUGUUAUGAUUGUUGCUGGUACACUUACCAACAAAAUGGCCCCUGCUCUUCGCAAGGUCUAUGAUCAAAUGCCUGAGCCAAGGUGGGUCAUCUCCAUGGGGAGCUGUGCAAACGGUGGAGGGUACUACCAUUACUCGUAUGCUGUCGUGCGAGGCUGUGACAGGAUCGUCCCUGUUGACAUUUAUGUUCCAGGUUGCCCACCUACUGCCGAGGCUCUUCUGUACGGAAUUCUUCAACUGCAGAAGAAGAUAAAUAGGCGCAAGGAUUUGCUUAUGUGGUGGACCCAAUAAGAGCCUUGUUUUUACGUUUCCAUCGAUCUGUAUGGAAAUAAACGUUUGGCGAAGUACCAUCCCAAGGAAGAGAGAUCUUCUUGUUUUUCUUUUGGGUGAAUCUUAUGUAUCUCUCUGCUGGACCUUCUAUGUUUCUUUUGUAUGUUAAUCUGAUAUUUAGUGGUACUGUCUAAGCUUAAGUUGGUAUAUUUCAAUAAAGCUGCUGUGCAUCCUCUAAAACUGGGGAAUGGAUUCAGAUAUUUUGAUUGUGAAGUGUAAUUCAUAGAUUGAGAAGUCUUGUGCAUCUAAUCAUAUAUUAUUAUAAGUGGGAAGAUUC
rnacentral:misc_RNA from 1 species